CAAUAGCGUAUAUUAAAGUUGUUGCGGUUAAAAAGCUCGUAGUUGGAUUUCUGCUGAGAACGACCGGUCCGCCCUCUGGGUGUGUAUCUGGCUCUUUCUUGGCAUCUUCUUGGUGAACGUUGCUGCACUUGACUGUGCGGAGCGCUACCCAGGACUUUUACUUUGAGGAAAUUAGAGUGUUUCAAGCAGGCAUACGCCUUGAAUACAUUAGCAUGGAAUAAUAAGAUAGGACCUCGGUUCUAUUUUGUUGGCUUCUAGAGCUGAGGUAAUGAUUAAUAGGGAUAGUUGGGGGCAUUCGUAUUUAACUGUCAGAGGUGAAAUUCUUGGAUUUAUGAAAGACGAACUUCUGCGAAAGCAUUUGCCAAGGAUGUUUUCAUUAA
rnacentral:rRNA from 1 species